rnacentral:rRNA from 1 species
CCUACGGGGGGCAGCAGUGGGGAAUAUUGCACAAUGGGCGAAAGCCUGAUGCAGCAACGCCGCGUGAGCGAUGAAGGCCUUCGGGUCGUAAAGCUCUGUCCGCAAGGAAGAGAAGGACGGUACGUGAGGAGGAAGCCCCGGCUAACGACGGGCCAGCAGCCGCGGUAAUACGUAGGGGGCUAGCGUUAGCCGGAAUUACUGGGCGUCAAGGGUGCGUAGGGGGUUUCGGAAGUCAGAGGUAAACGCCCGGGGCUCAACCCCGGCGAGCCGUUGAAACGGGCGGGCUGGAGGUGGAGCGCAGUACGCGGCAUGCGCGGUGUCGCGGUGACAUGCUUAGCUCUCGCGCAGAACCCCGAUUUCGCCGGCAGCGUACCGGCUCCACACUGACGCUGUGGCACGAAAGCGUGGGUAUCGAACAGGAUUCGAUACCCGAGUAGUC